rnacentral:rRNA from 1 species
AUUGAACGCUGGCGGCAUGCCUUACACAUGCAAGUCGAACGGCAGCACGGAGAGCUUGCCCUCUGAUGGCGAGUGGCGAACGGGUGAGUAAUGCAUCGGAACGUACCGUGUAAUGGGGGAUAACGUAGCGAAAGUUACGCUAAUACCGCAUACGACCUGAGGGUGAAAGCAGGGGAUCGCAAGACCUUGCGUUAUACGAGCGGCCGAUGUCAGAUUAGCUAGUUGGUGAGGUAAAGGCUCACCAAGGCGACGAUCUGUAGCGGGUCUGAGAGGAUGAUCCGCCACACUGGGACUGAGACACGGCCCAGACUCCUACGGGAGGCAGCAGUGGGGAAUUUUGGACAAUGGGGGCAACCCUGAUCCAGCCAUGCCGCGUGAGUGAAGAAGGCCUUCGGGUUGUAAAGCUCUUUCGGCCGGGAAGAAAUCGCACAGGCUAAUACUCUGUGUGGAUGACGGUACCGGCAUAAGAAGCACCGGCUAACUACGUGCCAGCAGCCGCGGUAA